UACGUAGGGUGCGAGCGUUGUCCGGAAUUAUUGGGCGUAAAGCGCACGUAGGCGGCUUGGCAAGUCGGAUGUGAAAUCCCUCAGCUCAACCAAGGAAGUGCAUCCGAAACUGCUGAGCUUGAGUACUUAAGAGGAUCGCGGAAUUCCCGGUGUAGAGGUGAAAUUCGUAGAUAUCGGGAGGAACACCAGUGGCGAAGGCGGCGAUCUGGGAAGAUACUGACGCUGAGGUGCGAAAGCGUGGGGAGCAAACAGGG
rnacentral:rRNA from 1 species